rnacentral:rRNA from 1 species
CACGUAGGAGGCGAACGUUAUCCGGAAUUACUGGGCGUAAAGAGCGCGUAGGCGGCUCUGUAAGUCCGACGUGAAAGCUCCUGGCUUAACUGGGAGAGGUCGUUGGAUACUGCAAAGCUCGAGGUUAGGAGAGGAAAGUGGAAUUCCCGGUGUAGUGGUGGAAUGCGUAGAUAUCGGGAGGAACUCCAGUGGCGAAAGCGACUUUCUGGCCUACACCUAACGCUGAAGCGCGAAAGCGUGGGGAGCAAACAGG